rnacentral:lncRNA from 1 species
CCUGUUUAAAGAGAGCGUACAUCUUUAAUUUAGCUUCAUUUCCUGGAUCCUGUGUUAACUUGGUCACAUUUUCCUUGGCUUGGUUAAACUGAUCACUCAUUCCUGACAAAUAUCUAGUGCUAUGUUGCAUUUGUGUUAAACUUGGAUUACUGCGCUGAAGAAUAUGCUUGUAAAAUCCUCGAGUUAAACUGGAAGUAAGCCUUAAAGCCAUUUAAAUGUUGUGAAAUAUUGUAUUGAAUAUAAAAACGGCGACCUUUUCAUAGAGAUUAUAAAAUAUUUUAUAAUCUCUAUAGACUAUGACCACAAAAUAGAUAUAGAGCUAUGACUCCAGAAAUUGUU